UUGCUCCUGGAUUCGCGGGCGGACGGGUGAGUAAUGCCUAGGAAUCUGCCUGGUAGUGGGGGACAACGUUUCGAAAGGAACGCUAAUACCGCAUACGUCCUACGGGAGAAAGCAGGGACCUUCAGGCCUUGCGCUAUCAGAUGAGCCUAGGUCGGAUUAGCUAGUUGGUGAGGUAAUGGCUCACCAAGGCAACGAUCCGUAACUGGUCUGAGAGGAUGAUCACUCACACUGGAACUGACACACGGUCCACACUCCUACGGGAGGCAGCAGUGGGGAAUAUUGGACAAUGGGCGAAAGCCUGAUCCAGCCAUGCCGCGUGUGUGAACAAGGUCUUCGGAUUGUAAAGCACUUUAAGUUGGGAGGAAGGGCAGUAAAUUAAUACUUUGCUGUUUUGACGUUACCGACAGAAUAAGCACCGGCUAACUCUGUGCCAUCAGCCUCGGUAAUACAGAGGGUGCAAGCGUUAAUCGGAAUUACUGGGCGUAAAGCGCGCGUAGGUGGUUUGUUAAGUUGGAUGUGAAAUCCCCGGGCUCUACCUGGGAACUGCAUUCAAAACUGACAAGCUAGAGUAUGGUAGAGGGUGGUGGAAUUUCCUGUGUAGCGCUGAAAUGCGUAGAUAUAGGAAGGAACACCAGUGGCGAAGGCGACCACCUGGACUGAUACUGACACUGAAGUGCGAAAGCGUGGGGAGCAUACAGGAUUAUAUACCCUGGUA
rnacentral:rRNA from 1 species